rnacentral:rRNA from 1 species
UACGUAUGGGGCAAGCGUUAUCCGGAUUUACUGGGUGUAAAGGGAGCGUAGGCGGCAUGGCAAGUCAGAAGUGAAAGCCUGGGGCUCAACCCUGGAAUUGCUUUUGAAACUGUCAAGCUAGAGUGUCGGAGGGGUAAGUGGAAUUCCUAGUGUAGCGGUGAAAUGCGUAGAUAUUAGGAGGAACACCAGUGGCGAAGGCGGCUUACUGGACGACUACUGACGCUGAGGCUCGAAAGCGUGGGGAG